UUGAGUUUUUAAUAAAUUUGGAGAAAAAGAGAAAACCAACUUAGUUCGUCAAAUGAAAAGUGAAAAGGCACCAGUUGCUAUGAUCUGAAGUUUUUUGGGAUCACUUUCAAAAUGCAGGAAAGCCCUACCCUACAGAUCAAUAACACGAGACAGCUUCUGGAUCCGGUUUAACAAGAAAUCCCCUUGCUUGAUUGUUGCUUGGUAGAGAGAAUUCUUAGCAUCAGGACGGUUAGUUUCUAGAACACCAGCAACCUUGUCAAUCUUGCAAUGAA
rnacentral:lncRNA from 1 species